CUCGUGUUCUCUGGGCUUUGUUGUCCUCAGUCUUUUUGCAGGAUCAGAAAACAAAACCAGGAGACCUGUAAAUGUUUCUUCUCCAAUUGGAUGAUGAUAAGACUGUGACAUGGGAUGCCACCUUUAGUCUUGUGAUGAAGCAAAGCUCAGGAAGAAGUGUGAUUAAAUGGUACCCACAUGUGUGCUGCUGAGAAGGAUGUACAGGGGCACCUGCAGCCAAAUCCAAGCCUCCUCAGAUGGGCAGGAUAUCACUAUUGGACUGUCUAACCUGCAGGAGCAGCACUGAAUGAUCACCACACAUGAGCAUGUUCCUGCAACAUUCAGCAGCUUUGCUUUUGUGUCAAAUGUCAAACAGCUGGAGAGGAGACUAAACCAGUGUACUGGGAUGUUUCAGCAACGCGUGCCAGAUGCUGUAACUUCAUGGUUUCAUCACCAGAGACAGCCCCGCCCACCUCAGGACCUCGCCAUUGAUCAUGAUGAUUAUAAU
ensembl:lncRNA